GAUGCACAGGAAGAUUGGAUUGGUGUGCGGGGGUCCCCUACCUCGCCCAAGGAAUCAACAAUUGAACGCGCAGGAUCUCCAGCAUUAGAACCAGCAGAGCUCUCACCAGGAACACGUCUUUCAAAAAUCAGAAACAGAAAACGAAAAAAUGCCGCUCUUUAUGGUGUGGCGGACCAAAUGCUCAGCCAAAACAGGACUUUGCACCGAGAGCAGCUUAAGGAAUGGAGAGCAGAAAGACAGGAAAAUAUGAGGUGGUUGGAGGAGGAUAAGCGGGUACAAAUGGAUUUUCUGGAGGAAGCAAGGAGGGAAAGGAAUGAUUUGAGGGAGGCAUGGAGGGAAAACCUUGAUAUAAUGAGGGCUGCAGUCGGCACACUGCAAACGCUUGGGGAAUUGAUGGUUCAGCAAAAGCAGACGGUCAAUCCCUCUGACAUGGCACUCAGAAUUCCUGAAUCACAGCCAUCAAUUGUCAGAGCAGCCGGUGCUAAGCGUUCCUGUGUGGGAAAGGCCCGGGAGAGGUUGACGUUGUAGAAUUGUUUACAGAGCCCUCUUUCAUGUUAUGUUGUGUGUUGUGUUAACCAUCCACUGUCAGGGAAAGCAUUUCUAACAGUUAGUAUCAAGUGAUUGCCCAUGUCUGAAUAAUAGCGAUGAGUGAUGCAAAUCUAUUAGACAAGAUUGCGGUCAAUGCCCCUGAUCAACAACCACUGUUGGCAGUUUCAGCCUUGACAUUCCACCCAAAGCCCAAUGAUCACUUAUGUGGCGAACUAAGAACUCAGCAUUGUUGGUUAAACCCAAAAUAAAGUGUUUGUAUGUUGCAAA